rnacentral:rRNA from 1 species
GAUGAACGCUGGCGGCGUGCCUAAUACAUGCAAGUCGAGCGAACGGACGAGAAGCUUGCUUCUCUGAUGUUAGCGGCGGACGGGUGAGUAACACGUGGAUAACCUACCUAUAAGACUGGGAUAACUUCGGGAAACCGGAGCUAAUACCGGAUAAUAUUUUGAACCGCAUGGUUCAAAAGUGAAAGACGGUCUUGCUGUCACUUAUAGAUGGAUCCGCGCUGCAUUAGCUAGUUGGUAAGGUAACGGCUUACCAAGGCAACGAUGCAUAGCCGACCUGAGAGGGUGAUCGGCCACACGGAACUUGGGCACCGGCCAGACUCCUACGGGAGGCAGCAGUAGGGAAUCUUCCGCAAUGGGCGAAAGCCUGACGGAGCAACGCCGCGUGAGUGAUGAAGGUCUUCGGAUCGUAAAACUCUGUUAUUAGGGAAGAACAUAUGUGUAAGUAACUGUGCACAUCUUGACGGUACCUAAUCAGAAAGCCACGGCUAACUACGUG